CUUUGGGCCCUCCAAAAGAGGGCUCGGACCCUCCAGAGGCGGCUCGGACGCUGAGGGUGCCUGUCUGGAUGCUAAAAAAAGAGGCUUUGGACCCUGAAAUGAGACUACGCAAACUAACAGUGAGCCUUUGGGCCGUAAAAAUGUGGGGUUUGGAGCCUAAAAUGCGGCAUUGUAAGACAAGAGUAAGACUUUGGAAAGUAAAAAUGAGGCUCUGGACCCUAGAAAUGUGGCUUUGGACUCUACAAAUGAGGCUUUGGGCCUUCAAAAUCAGACUUUGGGGCUUAAAAAUGAUGCUCUGGGCCUUUAAAAUGCAUCUUUGAACCUUAAAAGCGCAAACCCUGGAACUUUGGACCCCCCAAAUGAGGGCUUGGACUCUCCAGAUGCGGCUUGGACCCUAAAAAUGCCUGUCUGGAUGCUAAAAA